ACAUUUGUGGUCCAAGGGUAAGACGGUUGCUUUAUAAGCAACAGAUCCAGGUUCAAGUCCUGGCAAAUGUA